rnacentral:rRNA from 1 species
UACGUAGGGUCCGAGCGUUGUCCGGAAUUACUGGGCGUAAAGAGCUCGUAGGUGGUUUGUCGCGUUGUUCGUGAAAACUCACAGCUCAACUGUGGGCGUGCGGGCGAUACGGGCAGACUGGAGUACUGCAGGGGAGACUGGAAUUCCUGGUGUAGCGGUGGAAUGCGCAGAUAUCAGGAGGAACACCGGUGGCGAAGGCGGGUCUCUGGGCAGUAACUGACGCUGGAGGAGCGGAAAGCCGUGGGGAGCGAACAGG